rnacentral:rRNA from 1 species
AAAUAUUUCAAUUUUCUUUCACAAUACUAUUACACUAUAAUUAAAAUUAUUUUUUCUUUAAUAAAUACUAAAACAAACCUUUAUAUAAUUAUUUUUAAUAAAUUAAAUUAUAAAAACAUAAAAAUAAUAAAUAAAAUAUAAUCAAUUUAUAUUGAUUUGCACAAAAUUCUUUUCAAUGUAAAUGAAAUACUUUACUUAAUAAGCUUUAAAUUGCAUUCUAGAUACACUUUCCAGUACAUCUACUAUGUUACGACUUAUCUUACUUUAAUAAUAAGAGUGACGGGCGAUGUGUACAUAUUUUAGAGCUAAAAUCAAAUUAUUAAUCUUUAUAAUUUUACUAUCAAAUCCACUUUCAAUAAAUAUUUCAAAUUUACAUCCAUAUAAAUAAAUUUAUUGUAACCCAUUUUUACUUAAACAUAAGCUACACCUUGAUCUGAUAUACUUUCUUUUAUAAAAUUAUGAAAAUUAACAUUCUUAUAAAAUAUUCUAAUAACGACGGUAUAUAAACUGAUUACAAAUUUAAGUAAGGUCCAUCGUGGAUUAUCGAUUAUAAAACAGGUUCCUCUGAAUAGACUAAAAUACCGCCAAAUUUUUUAAGUUUCAAGAAAAUAACUA